AGCUCGUCGUGUCGCAGCUUCUUCUUCUGUCCAUGUGAAGGUUAGUAAGAGACACUUUUCCCUGUUUGUUCAUCUUGUUAGUUUAGUUCAGUAGAAAGAGCAGAAAACUCUACUAACAGUCAACUGAGAACCAACAUGGAGGAAGAGUUUCCUCCAUCUUACUGUCAGUGUGUCACUGUUCAAAGUAAUCAGAGUACUCACUGACAGUACUCAGAGUACUCACUGUAUGAUUUCUGUCUGUCUUUAUGAGCUCACCUUAUCAAUGUAGUUGAAGUAUGUAAAGUGAAAGUAGUCAGUGUACAGAAUGGCCUCUGUCAGUGUUGUAUUAUUAUAUUAGUGGAUGAUUAUUAUUGAUGCAUUAACAUGUAAUCACUACUUUAAUGUUGGAGUUGCUGCAGGUGGAGCCAAUAUGAACUACUUCAAAUACUUUUGGCUGCUUGAAUGUAAAAUAAUGAAUUCUAUUUUAUAAACUGAUCCCAUGUUUGAAAAGUAAACAGGAAGUAAAGCUGUCAGAUAAAUGCAGCUCCAUGAGGCCAUCUAGUGGACUGAUAGUAGAAGUAGAGCAGCUGAUGGCAGCUUUCUGCUCUCAUUCUUCCUCAACACUGACCAAUGAGAACAAGCAGCAUUUCCUCAGGGACCAGAAAACACUGAAUUUGUCCAAAAAGAAGCAUAUUAAGUAUUUAUGAUUGUUAAAAAUGAUAAAAGAUACAUAACACAGACAAACUGUAUAAAAAGUUCCCUAAACAGGAAAUAAUCUGCUCAGAAUUCAUCAGAAUCAACUUCAACUUCUUGCAGUUACUGAGUUCAAUAUUUGGGUUGAUUGUACAGUUUUGGAUAUAAUAUGAAAUAUGUAUAAAAUAUGUCCCUCAGUCGGGGUCGUCAGUUUACUCAGUGAUAGAAAAAGGUUGGGAACCACUGAUGUAAAGGAUGAAUGAGUGAUGAUGAGUUCUCAGUGCUGAUCAGUGAUUGGACUGAUGCUUUCAGCUCUGCUCUCAGUGUUUCCUCUACAGAUGAAGGUAGAAAGUCUCUGGGAGCUGAUGUGGAUGUGAAUUCAGCAGCAGCUGCCAAGCAGGUUGCUGUGUCUGUGUGAAGGUGUGGGCUCUGCUAUGAGUCAGUGUGAGGACAGAGAGGAGGGAGUCCCUCCCUCUAAAAGCACUCUGUGUGGGGAACAUGACACAAGGACCAAAGCUCAGAGGUGAGAUGAGGAUC
rnacentral:lncRNA from 15 species